rnacentral:rRNA from 1 species
AGUGAACGCUGGCGGUAGGCCUAACACAUGCAAGUCGAACGGCAGCACAGUAAGAGCUUGCUCUUACGGGUGGCGAGUGGCGGACGGGUGAGGAAUACAUCGGAAUCUACUUUUUCGUGGGGGAUAACGUAGGGAAACUUACGCUAAUACCGCAUACGACCUACGGGUGAAAGCAGGGGAUCUUCGGACCUUGCGCGAUUGAAUGAGCCGAUGUCGGAUUAGCUAGUUGGCGGGGUAAAGGCCCACCAAGGCGACGAUCCGUAGCUGGUCUGAGAGGAUGGUCAGCCACACUGGAACUGAGACACGGUCCAGACUCCUACGGGAGGCAGCAGUGGGGAAUAUUGGACAAUGGGCGCAAACCUGAUCCAGCCAUACCGCGUGGGUGAAAAAGACCUUCGGGUUGUAAAGCCCUUUUGUUGGGAAAGAAAAGCAGCAGGUUAAUACCCCGCUGUUCUGACGGUACCCAAAGAAUAAGCACCGGCUAACUUCGUG